CUACGGGAGGCAGCAGUGAGGAAUAUUGGUCAAUGGGCGAGAGCCUGAACCAGCCAUCCCGCGUGCAGGAAGACGGCCCUAUGGGUUGUAAACUGCUUUUUAGCAAGAAGAAAGGUAUCCUCGAGCAGGGUAUUUGACGGUAUUGCGAGAAUAAGCACCGGCUAACUCCGUGCCAGCAGCCGCGGUAAUACGGAGGGUGCAAGCGUUAUCCGGAUUUAUUGGGUUUAAAGGGUGCGCAGGCGGUAAGAUAAGUCAGUGGUGAAAUGUUGCAGCUUAACUGUAGAUGUGCCAUUGAGACUGUUUUACUUGAGUUAUCCUGAGGUAGGCGGAAUGUGUAGUGUAGCGGUGAAAUGCUUAGAUAUUACACAGAACACCGAUUGCGGAGGCAGCUUACCAAGGGUCAACUGACGCUCAGGCACGAAAGCGUGGGGAUCGAACAGGAUUAGAUACCCCGGUAGC
rnacentral:rRNA from 1 species